rnacentral:rRNA from 1 species
UACGUAGGGGGCAAGCGUUGUCCGGAAUCAUUGGGCGUAAAGAGCGUGUAGGCGGCCAGAAAAGUCCGCUGUGAAAACUCGAGGCUCAACUUCGAGCUGUCGGUGGAAACUUUCUGGCUAGAGUCCGGAAGAGGAGAAUGGAAUUCCUGGUGUAGCGGUGAAAUGCGCAGAUAUCAGGAAGAACACCCGUAGCGAAGGCGGCACUCUGGGCCGGUACUGACGCUGAGGAGCGAAAGCGUGGGGAGCAAACAGG